rnacentral:lncRNA from 1 species
UAACAAGAAAACUAAUAAUUCCCAUUAAGGCGAGAAGAAUGGCCGGACUUCCCCCUCUCUGUUUGCGUGUGGCUGAGGCUCCGUCCUUCGCUAAUUCCGUGCUACGUUAAUUAACUGUUGGCUUUCCUCCCCCGUGCCAUUCCGGGGCUGUUUGCAGACCCCUUAAUCCGGAAUGCAUCGGUUUGAUUCCGAGCGCGGGUUCAUAAAUAUCCAAUAAACACAGAGUGGGAAUAAUUAGCGGCGUUUAUCAGCAUAUGGCCCACCCACCCCACUCUGAAACCUUCCAGACCCCCGCGAGAGGAAAACGAAGUACGCGGCGAGUAAUUAGUUUCAAGCAAAUCAUUCCGAAUGGAAACUUAUAGACGCGGGUCAGCAAAACACCGCCACGGAGAACACAUAAACCAUCGGGAUAUCUCAUUAUAGAAACCUCUGCCAAAGUCUAUUCGGAUCCAGGUUCGCGCAGUGCCCCUCCGAAGCUCAAUGGGGGGAGAAGCGGCGAUCGUUGAGGAGAGUGUGGAAAUUCAUUUCGUUUUUACGGCGAUCCGGUAAAGCCUUACGAGGUGAUGCGAGACGUUGCGAAAGGAGAAAGUAUUUAAGAAAUUAGGGAUGGAAAAGUAGGGUUGGAGAGCCGAAGUGGCAGCGAGGAAUGCCGGGCAGCCUUCGGGUCUUGUAAAGUGGGGGGGGGGGGGAGGAAGGGGGAAAUAAAAAGGAAAAAGAAAAGGCCGUAUGGAUUACCUCAAAUCGAAAUAUCUUGAGGCAGAAGUAAUAGAAAACGGGAUAUUUUUCAUAGGCGGAUUGUGUUGGUGGAAAUGACCCUCGCGGGGUUUUGAGGGGAGCUGAGGGGGUCACUCUGUGGGGCUGGGGGGGGGGGGGGGGGGGCGGUGUACGUCCCCCCCGUGCAUGGAACCACCAUCACAGCACUGCUCCGGGGUUUGGAGUUGGGGGGGCAGAGAACGGAGCAGUUCAGUGCACCCACCGGGACGGGGAAAAGCUGAAUUGGGACUCUGCUUUUCGAGUUCCC